ACCCAUACUCUAACAUGUGUGCGAGUGUUCUUGAAAGGGAAACGAUUGAAGUCAGUCGUACCAGCGGAUAAUCAGCCUUUAGAUGCGAUUUUGUGGAGCGUGAAGAGCUAAUCGCCUUUAUGCCUGUAUAUUCGUGUACUUGGGGUGUACUUAUUCGGUGUGGUAAGUUAACAUCAAUUUUGGUUGUCAUAAAAUGAUUGGAGGAAUGUAGCUUCGAUCUCGUAUUGAAGUGUUAUAGCCUCUGGUAGAUGCGGUGACCGAAACUGAGGGUUGCAACGAAUACCCUCUGGGCUAUCCGUCUGGCCUCUGAAAGUUGCUUAGGUGCCGAAAGCGUGCUUACGGCUAUUUAAGUUG
rnacentral:rRNA from 1 species